rnacentral:lncRNA from 1 species
AAAUAAAUCUUUCCAGAGAAAACAGAUUUGUUUCCAAAUCAGUCAACUGUGCUGAACUGGAAAGGAAGAAAUGUUAUUUUUUCCAGGAUGAAAGCAAAACAAGAUCUCUCCCUGUUUACCCCGUCUCACCCAUUUCUAAAGAAGGGCCAUGUCCUUCAGAAAACAACUACUGCCCUCAAGGACCACAAAUCACUUCCUCGGUCCCAGGUAAGAUGUGAAUUAAUCACAAAGUCACUGCACUCAUUUCUGAUUUCAGCCACAGAUCAGUCUUUGGUAGGGGAAAGGGAAUUGAGCAGUCCAAGGGUGUCAUGGAUAUCUUCAUGGACUAAUGGGUCUGAUACAUGGAGCUAUCUUCUCUGAGCCUGCUAAACAUCUGAUCUGUCACAUUCCCUCCCUACUGUGACUCUCUGGGGACAGAUAGAAAUCAUCACCUUUACUUUAAAUGUUUGGAAUUGUCUGGUUGUCACUGUAGAGCUAUAAGCAGAGUCAUAGAAUCAUAGAAUCAUAGCAUCAUAGCAUCAUAGCAUCAUAGACUCAUAGAACAGAAUCAUAGAAUCAUAGAAUGGCCUGGGUUGAAAAGGACCACAAUGAUCAUCUACUUUCAACCCCCCUGCUAUGUGCAGGGUCACCAACCACCAGACCAGGCUGCCCAGAGCCACAUCCAGCCUGGCCUUGAAUGCCUCCAGGGAUGGGGCAUCCACAACCUCCUUGGGCAACCUGUUCCAGUGCAUCACCACCCUCUGUGUGAAUAACUUCCUCCUGAUAUCUAACCUAAACCUCCCUUGUCUCAGUUUAAAACCAUUCCCCCUGUCUCUUGUAAACAGGGGGUCACAGGGAUGGUUUCUCAUGUAGGUGUGCAUGCUGCUGUGCAGAAGGAGGAUCCUGAAACAAGCAUUCUCUGGGUGGUUUGGGAAGUGACAUGGACAUAUGCCUGUCCUCAGAGCAUAGGACACUCUUGGACCAGCUACAGGAAUGCAGCAGGUCUUUUUCCAUAGCAACAACAAACCAAAUUGUGCCCCUUCAGCCCCACCUUUUGUGCCUUAUGUCCAUCAUCAAGCCUGCAGCAAGGCAGAUGCUGUAUGGGCAGCUGUUUGUCUGUGCUAGGGCUCAGUUUCAUGCCUCAGCGCUAUUUCUGUCUUGAAGUCUGAGCGUGAUGUGAAGAGUGGGAUUUCCUCUGAAGGGAUCAGUCAGGCUUUUCAUCUUCUUUCUGAAGAGUCGGCUACUGUAUCUAAAUGCAUAUUGAAGUUACAGAGAAGGAACAA